rnacentral:rRNA from 1 species
CUCCUACGGGAGGCAGCAGUGGGGAAUAUUGGACAAUGGGGGGAACCCUGAUCCAGCCAUGCCGCGUGUGUGAAGAAGGCCUUUUGGUUGUAAAGCACUUUAAGCGAGGAGGAGGCUCUUCUAGUUAAUACCUAGGAUGAGUGGACGUUACUCGCAGAAUAAGCACCGGCUAACUCUGUGCCAGCAGCCGCGGUAAUACAGAGGGUGCGAGCGUUAAUCGGAUUUACUGGGCGUAAAGCGUACGUAGGCGGCUCUUUAAGUCGGAUGUGAAAUCCCUGAGCUUAACUUAGGAAUUGCAUUCGAUACUGGGAAGCUAGAGUAUGGGAGAGGAUGGUAGAAUUCCAGGUGUAGCGGUGAAAUGCGUAGAGAUCUGGAGGAAUACCGAUGGCGAAGGCAGCCAUCUGGCCUAAUACUGACGCUGAGGUACGAAAGCAUGGGGAGCAAACAGGAUUAGAUACCCUGGUAGUCCAUGCCGUAAACGAUGUCUACUAGCCGUUGGGGCCUUUGAGGCUUUAGUGGCGCAGCUAACGCGAUAAGUAGACCGC